UACAGAGGGUGCGAGCGUUAAUCGGAAUUACUGGGCGUAAAGCGUGCGUAGACGGCUAUCUAAGUCGGGUGUGAAAGCCCCGGGCUCAACCUGGGAAUUGCAUUCGAGACUGAAUAGCUAGGGUACGGUAGAGGGAAGCGGAAUUUCCGGUGUAGCGGUGAAAUGCGUAGAUAUCGGAAGGAACAUCAGUGGCGAAAGCGGCUUCCUGGACCAGUACCGACGUUCAGGCACGAAAGCGUGGGGAGCGAACAGGA
rnacentral:rRNA from 1 species